rnacentral:rRNA from 1 species
GAUGAACGCUGGCGGCGUGCCUAAUACAUGCAAGUCGAACGCUGGAGAUCUAGCUUGCUAGAUCGAAGGAGUGGCGAACGGGUGAGUAAUACAUAAGCAACCUACCCACGAAGACUGGGAUAAUCUCUGGAAACGGGGACUAAUACCGGAUAGGUAAUCGGAAGGCAUCUUCUGGUUAUUAAAGGUUAAAAACACUGGUGGAUGGGCUUAUGGCGCAUUAGUUAGUUGGUGAGGUAACGGCCCACCAAGACGAUGAUGCGUAGCCGGCCUGAGAGGAUGAACGGCCACAUUGGGACUGAGACACGGCCCAGACUCCUACGGGAGGCAGCAGUAGGGAAUUUUCGGCAAUGGGGGCAACCCUGACCGAGCAACGCCGCGUGAGUGAAGACGGCCUUCGGGUUGUAAAGCUCUGUUGUAAGGGAAGAACGGUAGAUAGAGAAUAUCUAAGUGACGGUACCUUACCAGAAAGCCACGGCUAACUACGUGCCAGCAGCCGCGGUAAUACGUAGGUGGCGAGCGUUAUCCGGAAUUAUUGGGCGUAAAGGGUGCGUAGGCGGCCUGUUAAGUAAGUGGUUAAAUUGUUGGGCUCAACCCAAUCCAGCCACUUAAACUGGCAGGCUAGAGUAUUGGAGAGGCAAGUGGAAUUCCAUGUGUAGCGGUAAAAUGCGUAGAUAUAUGGAGGAACACCAGUGGCGAAGGCGGCUUGCUAGCCAAAGACUGACGCUCAUGCACGAAAGCGUGGGGAGCAAAUAGG